UUUUUUUUUUUUCCUGAAAUCAGUCUGUUGCGCUCACCGUGCCUGGGCACGGAGCACCGGAGGCUUGGCGGGUCAGGCGCACGGUGCUGGCUGUUAAUUGUGCAACAGUGCAAGCCACGGAAAGGGAGAGGAGCACCAGGCGCACUCGACGCGUCGUGCCACCCAGGGAAGCUGACAGGGCUCAUGGGAAGGCCCCCCAGCCCGGCCGGUAGGACACCACACACAGCAAAGAGACACAGACUCUCACACAUUUAUAGGCGCGCACACGUCCAACCACGUACAUGUGGCAAAGAACAAACAUCUGCCUAAGAUCCUCGCAUGUCCACCUCCUUCUUCGUAGGCUCUCGGAAAGUGGCUGCAGGACCCGUCCGGGAUCGUCAAGCUGCUUCUCAGGCGGAACCUCCUGGUGUUUUACGUGAACACACAACACGUGCUCUCUUGGGUAAUGACCACCUUCUCCGGGCAUGCUAAAGUCUCCCAAGGGAAACUGUACUAAAGAGAGGCCCUGCAUAAGCAUCAGGGGACCUUUCCACAUUAGGACAAGAGUCAAACUCUGCUUUCAGGGGAGAUCCGCAGGCUCUGAUGUAGAGCCGAGGGUAGAAGGUUCUGGAAAAAGCAAACUUUUUCCUUGUUUUCAAACACAGAUCUGCUCCUUUCGGGAGAUGCCGAUCCAGUCUUGCCUUCUAAUGGAGUAAUUCCCACCAGGGUCACACUCUGAAAGCACAGCUUCCCUAGGAAACACAUGGAAAAUAGCACUCUGCUUCGCAGGGGGGGAGCCGCUCACCUGCUGUCAAGCCUCUACGGGCCUCACAGCUUGUUUGAAAUGAAAUCUGCGCCUAGGAAACGCCUAGCCAGCGUGCUGCGAGCACCGCGGCCGCCUGUGUGCCCACACUGGCUUCCUCAGGAUGCACACAGUAGCAAUAACUCACUUUGGCCAAGCUGGAUGUGUGGCCCUGUCUCUGCAGGGGCCACGCUCCUACAGAGAAGCCUCCAGAACAGAAUCUCAGUCACAUUGUUCUAGAGGUUCCCGGUUUUCUUGGCAGCACGCGCACUGGCAGCACACCCACCCACCGGGC
rnacentral:lncRNA from 1 species